rnacentral:lncRNA from 1 species
AAUUCCCAGGCUAGCCAUACAAUUUUAUUUGUCCUAUGACAUAUGUUAAAUAUUUUUCCUAGAGCCUUAAUUCAGCUAUACCUAACUACCAUGUAUAAAGAAUUAAGUAUAUACAUUGUGGUAUUCAGAUUAGGAAUAUUGCCCUGGCAGAGGGAGUGGAGACAGCUCUGGGUUUCUUCUUGUGGUAGGAUUUGGAUUGGAGGGGAUGCAGACCUUUGGCGGCAGCACCACAGUUCUCCAGGUGUUCUGAACUGGGAAGAUGGGGAAGAGGGCACAUUUGUUGGGGUGUGUCUGUGCUGUGUUUAAGAGCUAGGAUGUUUUCCAUGCGUUCUUUUGGUUUCAUUUUUGAAUACUGUUUUCUGUAAGUGAAGAUAGAAGAGUUGUCCAGAAGAGAAGGAGCUGUGUGGAUUCUGAAAGAAGUAUUUGUCUGUGAGGCACAACAGUAUUGUUAAAUUAAUUUUGACCUUUGUUUGAGGGGAGCAUUUUCCAGUGAUUUCCUAUUUUAAGAGUGCCAAUCUAAUAACCCCUUUAAAAGCACUUAGAGUAAUAGGAUAAAAUUAGACUUUUAAAAUAUCACUUUUUUUGUUGUUGGGUGGGGGAAUCACUUGCAGGGUCCACACAAGUCCACCUAUGUACUCUCUGGAUCGAAUAUUUGCUGGAUUUCGAACACGAAGUCAGAUGCUGUUGGGUCACAUAGAAGAACAAGAUGAGGUCCUCCACUGCCAAUUUUCUGAUAACAGUGAUGAUGAAGAAUCAGAAGGCCAAGAGACAUCUGGAACUAGAUGUAGAAGUCGUUCAUGGAUUCAGAAGCCAGACUCUGUUCCCUUGUUGAAUUGAGUGAUACUCAGGAUGAAACACAAAAGUCAGAUUCGGAGAAUGAAGGUACAUAGAUUUUCUUAAAUAAUGUAGACCUAAUGGUUAUAGGACACUUAUCUUUUUCCUCAGUUGAUAAUUUAAGAAACAUCC